rnacentral:lncRNA from 1 species
GCUAGCUCAAGCUGCUUAACUGCUUUUUUCCCAAGGUUCCAUGGGAACUGUCUUCCCAUCUUAAUUGAUUGGCGUUUCACAAAGUUCUGAGCUCCUUUUCUUUUUGCAGAUGCUUUUGUCGCUUCUAAAAAUCUUCAUUUACAUUCAACAACAUGAAAAGUGUUUUAAGGAAAGUGAAUUAUUCAACUCUGAAUCAGAACCUAAUAUUUCCCCCAGCUCUGUGAUUCUGCACAAACUACAUCCUAUGCCUGAAAUUUUCUCCCUGGCCUCUUACUCUUGGAAUCUAUAUCUCAAACUAAGACACCAUGAACUCUAAGAUAGCAACCUGAUGAACUAACCAAAGAGAAGAUGAAGAAAUAAGGCUGAGAGAGAUGGUGUGAUUGCCGAUGAUCAAAUAGCUUGAAAUUGACCUAAUCAAGGUUCGAAACCAGGUUUUCUAAUUUUUAAAUUUGUUGUGCUUUCCACUAUGAACCAUACUGCCAUUCUUCCAUUAAAUAAGCAGCUUAUAUCUUCAUAUUCUAUUAGGAUACUAAUACUACUAAUACUGUAUUCAAAA